rnacentral:rRNA from 1 species
AUACGGAGGGUCCGAGCGUUAUCCGGAAUCAUUGGGUUUAAAGGGUCCGUAGGCGGGAAUCUAAGUCAGUGGUGAAAUCUUGCAGCUCAACUGUAAAAUUGCCAUUGAUACUGGAUUUCUUGAAUUAGUGUGAAGUGGUUAGAAUGUGUAGUGUAGAGGUGAAAUGCAUAGAUAUUACACAGAAUACCAAUUGCGAAGGCAGAUCACUAACACUAUAUUGACGCUAAGGGACGAAAGCGUGGGGAGCGAACAGGAUUAGAAACCCCAGUAGUCC